AGGGCAAGUCUGGUGCCCGCAGCCGCGGUAAUUCCAGCUCCAAUAGCGUAUAUUAAAGUUGUUGCAGUUAAAAAGCUCGUAGUUGAAUUUCGGGGUCAGCAGGUUGGUCGUGCCAAUGGUAUGCACUGGCCUUGCUGAUUCCUCCCUCUUGAUGAGCCGUAAUGCCAUUAAUUUGGUGUUGUGGGGAAUCAGGACUGUUACUUUGAAAAAAUUAGAGUGUUUAAAGCAGGCAAGCGCUUGAAUACAUUAGCAUGGAAUAAUGAAAUAGGACGUUCGAUCCUAUUUUGUUGGUUUCUAGGAUUGACGUAAUGAUUAAUAGGGAUAGUUGGGGGCAUUAGUAUUCAAUUGUCAGAGGUGAAAUUCUUGGAUUUAUUGAAGACUAACUACUGCGAAAGCAUUUGCCAAGGAUGUUUUCAUUAAUCAAGAACGAAAGUUAGGGGAUCGAAGACGAUCAGAUACCGUCGUAGUCUUAACCAUAAACUAUGCCGACUAGGGAUCGGAUGAUGUUAAUUUUUUAAUGACUCAUUCGGCGCCUUACGGGAA
rnacentral:rRNA from 1 species